AACGAACGCUGGCGGUAUGCCUAACACAUGCAAGUCGAACGAGACCUUCGGGUCUAGUGGCGCACGGGUGCGUAACGCGUGGGAACCUGCCCUUAGGUUCGGAAUAACUCCCCGAAAGGGGUGCUAAUACCGGAUAAUGUCUUCGGACCAAAGAUUUAUCGCCUUUGGAUGGGCCCGCGUUGGAUUAGCUAGUUGGUAGGGUAAAAGCCUACCAAGGCGACGAUCCAUAGCUGGUCUGAGAGGAUGAUCAGCCACACUGGGACUGAGACACGGCCCAGACUGCUAAGGGAAGGAGGAGGGGGGAAUAAUGGAAAAAGGGGCGAAGGCUGGACCAGCAAUGGCGGGGGAGUGGAGAAGGGCUUAGGGUUGGAAAGCUCCUUUAACCGGGAAGAUAAUGACAGUAACGGGAGAAUAAGCCCCGGCUAACUCCGUG
rnacentral:rRNA from 1 species